GAGAUGGUCAUUUGUACAUUCUUAAUCAUUUGUUAAUUAAUACGUACGUAUUUAUCAAGUUAAUUAAACUAACGCAGUCUUCUCUCGUUGAAAACCAAUUGAGUUUUGCGACGAAUAAAUUUAUUGGUUGAAGAAGUUAUCUAUAAAUAUAGAGAGUGGAAAACUUAACACACAAACUUGUGAUAGCUAAAAAAUGGUUUCGAAAAGAAAUGUAUUUAUGGCUGCAGUUUUUGUGCUUCUCAUCUCCUCGGAAGCUUCAGCCACUACAGAACUCACUGAGACGCCCAAUAGAGAGACAUCUAAGGAAGGUGAGAAGAAAAAUGAGGUUAUCAUGGAACCGUUCUACAGGUGCCCGUCCGGGAGGUGCUGUGGAACACGUAGUGGCCGUUCAUCUAGAGGGGGCCCUGGUUAUUGUCGUUGCUGCCGUUAAACUGCUCACAAAUCCCCUUACAAAUAUUUGUUUCAUAAGAUGUCGGAUGAGCAACCGUGUCAAGUUAAUGUUGUUACUCAUAGCACUGUGAGCAUGUGAUUGUAAUACCCUGUUUCCUUAUAGCUAAGUUUAGAUUAAUUCUGAACUUAGAAUUUAAGAUGAUUCAGGCUGAAUUAAGAAAAUGGUUUAUUUUAAUUCCAACAAAUGAUUUACAAAA